CCCGCCGGGUCCAUAUGCCAGUGUCAACAUGACCCAGACACCCUCCUUCCUGAGCAGGGAGGAUUAGGAAACAAGGCUGGCUAGGAGCACAGACAGGG
rnacentral:miRNA from 1 species